rnacentral:rRNA from 1 species
GACGAACGCUGGCGGCGUGCUUAACACAUGCAAGUCGAACGGAAGGGCCCUGCCUGCAGGGUACUCGAGUGGCGAACGGGUGAGUAACACGUGGGUGAUCUGCCCUGCACUUCGGGAUAAGCCUGGGAAACUGGGUCUAAUACCGGAUAGGAGCCAUUUUUAGUGUGAUGGUUGGAAAGUUUUUUCGGUGUAGGAUGAGCUCGCGGCCUAUCAGCUUGUUGGUGGGGUAAUGGCCUACCAAGGCGGCGACGGGUAGCCGGCCUGAGAGGGUGGACGGCCACAUUGGGACUGAGAUACGGCCCAGACUCCUACGGGAGGCAGCAGUGGGGAAUAUUGCACAAUGGGCGCAAGCCUGAUGCAGCGACGCCGCGUGGGGGAUGACGGCCUUCGGGUUGUAAACUCCUUUCGCUAGGGACGAAGCUUUUUGUGACGGUACCUAGAGAAGAAGCACCGGCUAACUACGUG